CCUACGGGUGGCAGCAGUCGAGAAUCAUUCACAAUGGGGGAAACCCUGAUGGUGCGACGCCGCGUGGGGGAAUGAAGGUCUUCGGAUUGUAAACCCCUGUCAUGUGGGAGCAAAUUAAAAAGAUAGUACCACAAGAGGAAGAGACGGCUAACUCUGUGCCAGCAGCCGCGGUAAUACAGAGGUCUCAAGCGUUGUUGGGAAUCACUGGGCGUAAAGUGUGCGUAGGCUGUUUCGUAAGUCGUGUGUGAAAGGCGCGGGCUCAACCCGCGGACGGCACAUGAUACUGCGAGACUAGAGUAAUGGAGGGGGAACCGGAAUUCUCGGUGGAGCAGUGAAAUGCGUAGAUAUCGAGAGGAACACUCGUGGCGAAGGCGGGUUCCUGGACAUUAACUGACGCUGAGGCACGAAGGCCAGGGGAGCGAAAGGGAUUAGAUACCCCUGUAGUC
rnacentral:rRNA from 1 species